GUGCUUGCUCUGGCAACACACAUACUAAAAUUGGAAUGAUACAGAGAAGAUUAGCAAUGGCCUCUCCAGGAUGACAUGCAAAUUCGUAAAACAUAAAAGAGAGAC